UACGAAGGGGGCUAGCGUUGCUCGGAAUUACUGGGCGUAAAGGGAGCGUAGGCGGACAUUUAAGUCAGAGGUGAAAUCCCGGAGCUCAACUCCGGAACUGCCUUUGAUACUGGGUGUCUUGAGUGUGAGAGAGGUAUGUGGAACUCCGAGUGUAGAGGUGAAAUUCGUAGAUAUUCGGAAGAACACCAGUGGCGAAGGCGACAUACUGGCUCAUUACUGACGCUGAGGCUCGAAAGCGUGGGGAGCAAACAGG
rnacentral:rRNA from 2 species